rnacentral:lncRNA from 1 species
CCCUGUCGGCCUCCCAAAGUGCUGGGAUUACAGGUGUGAGCUACUGUGCCCAGGCACUCAAAACAUUUUUAUAGCAUUUACUUGAGAAGUUCUCUCAAGAAUACAGGCCUCAUUUGGAAUCACUUAAAAAAUUGCAAAUACUCAUGAUAUUGGAGAUGGAUUGGUUUUUGGAAGGAGCCAAAAUGAUUUUGCACUGGGCUAAUAAAUAAGGGGGUCAAUGGGGUCAGAUCCACUGAGCACCAAAAUAAACAAAACAAAACCCUGAGUUUUAACUAUAAACAAACUCAACUAAAUUCUUUAGAAUAGUUUAAUGUACUAGUUUGGAAGGGACUUCAAAAAGUAGUUCCAACAAGAUUUUGAACAACAGAAUCAUCUUCAUUCACAAUAGCAACUAAUUUAUUGAGCACUUAGUAUGUGCCAGGCACUUUGCAAGUAUUUGACAUACAUUCUGUCACUUACGUUUCAGGAAACCUGCCAAUCUCUUAUACCCAUCUUACAGAAGAUAAGGAAGAGACAACUGGUUAUGAACUAAGUCAAAGCCUCAGCCUGGAGCAUCCUUUUGGUGCCAGAAAGUAAAGAAAUGCUUUAAAAAGGGGACAGGGGGAUAUAGAAAGGACACAGGAGACAGCCUGAAAGAGCUCCUAAUGGCCAAGAUUGAAGAAUUUGAACAAAAAUAUGAAAUGAAGGUAUUGGAUUAUAACACAAGGAAUCUAGUAAAUACCCAUGAGUCCAUACUCCUAAAAAUAAAUGAACCAAAAAAUAAAAGGAGGAAAAGAAACAACUCUUCCUUAUAGACUAAUUCCAAUUAAUAGUUGUAGUAUGAAUGAAGAAAAUAGAAAAAUCACCAUUAGAAAACCACAGUAAUAAUUGCUACAGAGAAGAUCCACUGAUGAAUGCUAACGUUAGUGGUUGGAAAUUUAAGCUGCAUAGUUUCAAAGUUUCUCCCCGCAAAUACUUAUUAUCGCAAAGGGAAACAUGUUAACAGUACAGUAGAGAAAGCCAGUAGACGCCACCUUAACCAAGUGAUCAACACUAACAUCAUCAGUAACAAGACACAUAGAUAUCAUGUGCCCCCGAUAUGACAGAGGGCACGUUACCACUGUAGAUUCUUUCCCAAGAUGCAUACCCUCAAUCUAACCAUGGGGAAACAUGAGACAAAUCCAAAUUAAGGGACAUUCUACGAAAUGAUGAGAUACUCUUCAAAAGUGUCAAAGUCAUGAAAGACAGGUGAAAACUGAAGAACCGCCAUGGAUGGGAGACCAAGGAGAUCCUAAUGAGUCAACUAGUAUGCAAAGUGGAAUCCCAGAUUGGGUCCUGGAACAGAAAAAGGACAUCAGUGGAAAAAUUGCGAGAUCUGAACAAAGUCUGCAUUUUGUUAAUAGUGUGUUACCAAUGUUGGUUUCAUAGUUUUGGCCAUUGUGCUGUGUAUUUAUAAGAUGCUAACAUUAGGGAUAGCUGAAUGUGGUAUAUAUAGGAACUCUGUGCUGAGUUUAUAACUCCUCUGUAUGUCUAAAACUAUUUCAAAAUAAAAAGUUUAAAGGUAAAAAAAAAGAUUAAAAAAUAUAACUUGCUUUGUUGCUCUGUGUCCACAUUGAGUGGUAACUUGUAGGAUGGUCAGGAGUUAAACAAUGAGAGUAGGGAUCGUAAGUAGCUUAGAAAAGAGAAGCAUUAGUCAUAUGACUUGGUUCCAUUUCUCCCUCAACCAAUUAUGAGCUGUGUGACCUAGAACAAGUUAAAGUUACUUUUCUGUAAGUUUUUUGAUAUUUAUAAAGGGGAUGGGUCAGGGUACCAACCUCGUAAAGCUAGAAAUGAAGGUUAAACAAAAUCAGCUAUCUAAAGAAUGUAAUAGUGCCUGGCGCAUUGUCAGAACCCAAUCAAUGUUAACCAUGGUGGUGGUGAUGAUAUGGAAGUAUUGACAAUGAUGACAGUGAACAUGAACAGCCUGUAUGUGACAGCCACUAGCUCAGACCCUCUCUCUCCACGAAGCCCCUGAGGAUGUCUCAUCCCCCCACACUGCUGCAGAUCCCAUCAGAGCCCUCUGAUACUUUCUCUGUAUUCCCAUCCAGCCUUCUUCGGAUGUUUAUUGAGCACUUACUGCGUGACUUAGUAAUGUACAGUAUUAAGUAGCAGUA